AAGGAUUUAAGUCCUACCUUAAGUUCCCCUCUUCGUAGCAAAACUUCCGCGAACUUAAGAGCUAUUCAAACAAGGUACAGCCUGUUUGAAACAGGAAACAACCUCAAAAACAGGGUAACCACAAAUGACAUGUGUAUAAGUGGGCCUAAAAGCAGCCAACUUUCAAAAAGCGUUACAGCUUCCUCACCCGUCACUCUAAUACCAAAAACACCCAAUAACCCUUACUUAGUACUAAGUAACUCUAUACUUUUAUAGAAAUUAUUAUGCUAAAACUAGUAACAUGAAGAAGCCCUUCUCCCAAAUGCACCUGUAAGCCAAAAAGAACAAUUCAUUGGCAUUUAACGCUAUUGACCCUAAAGCAAUAACUACACAAGAAAAUUUUGCUAACACCAACGUUAACCUAACACAAGAGCAUUCCGGGAAAGAUUAAAAGAAGUGGAAGGAACUCGGCAAAUUUUAACCCCGCCUGUUUACCAAAAACAUCGCCUCCUGCAGUAUAUAGGAGGUCCAGCCUGCCCAGUGACCAAGUUAAACGGCCGCGGUACCCUAACCGUGCAAAGG
rnacentral:rRNA from 1 species